rnacentral:siRNA from 1 species
AUCUACAGAUCUCAAUCUUUGCC